rnacentral:rRNA from 1 species
AGUGAACGCUGGCGGUAGGCCUAACACAUGCAAGUCGAACGGCAGCACAGUAAGAGCUUGCUCUUACGGGUGGCGAGUGGCGGACGGGUGAGGAAUACAUCGGAAUCUACUUUUUCGUGGGGGAUAACGUAGGGAAACUUACGCUAAUACCGCAUACGACCUACGGGUGAAAGCAGGGGAUCUUCGGACCUUGCGCGAUUGAAUGAGCCGAUGUCGGAUUAGCUAGUUGGCGGGGUAAAGGCCCACCAAGGCGACGAUCCGUAGCUGGUCUGAGAGGAUGAUCAGCCACACUGGAGCUGAGACACGGUCCAGACGCCUACGGGAGGCAGCAGUGGGGAAUAUUGGACAAUGGGCGCAAGCCUGAUCCAGCCAGACCGCGUGGGUGAAGAAGGCCUUCGGGUUGUAAAGCCCUUUUGUUGGGAAAGAAAAGCAGCAGGUUAAUACCCCGCUGUUCUGACGGUACCCAAAGAAUAAGCACCGGCUAACUUCGUG